ACACGCAUGACACACUGCAUAUCAAUAAGCGGAGGAAAAGAAACUAACAAGGAUUCCCCUAGUAACGGCGAGUGAAGCGGGAAGAGCUCAAAUUUGAAAUCUUAAAGGGUUUCCCUUUACGAAUUGUAGUUUAAAGAAGUGUUUUCUGUUGGAGUUUCGGUAAAAGUUCUUUGGAAUAGGACAUCAUAGAGGGUGAGAAUCCCGUAUUUGACCGUUACUUUCCAGCUGUGUGAUACACUUUCAAAGAGUCGGAUUGUUUGGGAAUGCAGUCCAAAAUGGGUGGUAAAUUUCAUCUAAAGCUAAAUAUUGGCGAGAGACCGAUAGCGAACAAGUACCGUGAGGGAAAGAUGAAAAGAACUUUGAAAAGAGAGUUAAACAGUACGUGAAAUUGUCAAAAGGGAAGCGUUUGACACCAGUGUUGUUUAGUUGAAAAUCAAUUCAAUAAUUUUUGAUUUUGAGUAGUAUUGACUUCAUCAGCUUGCUGCUUUCUUUUCAGGAAAUUAUUGAAUGCACUUUUCAGUUAACAAGUCAACAUCAAUUUCUUUUGUUGUAAAAGGGUAAGAGGAAGGUGGCUUACGCUUCGGCGUAAGUGUUUAUAGCCUUUUACCUCUGCAAUCGGAGAGAUUGAGGACAGCAGCGUAGACUCUUCGGGGUUAGAUACACUUGUGCUAAGCUAUAGCCUUGUAUAGACAACUUGUUGACUAUGCUCAGUCAUGUAGCUUACUCGCUUGUGCUAUUUUACCUACGCUUAGGAUGUUGACUGAUAUGUAGUCGUA
rnacentral:rRNA from 1 species